GAUGAACGCUAGCUACAGGCUUAACACAUGCAAGUCGAGGGGAAACGGCAUUAAGUGCUUGCACUUUUUGGACGUCGACCGGCGCACGGGUGAGUAACGCGUAUCCAACCUUCCCAUGACUAAGGGAUAACCUGCCGAAAGGCAGACUAAUACCUUAUGGUCUUCACUGACGGCAUCAGAUGUGAAGUAAAGAUUUAUCGGUUAUGGAUGGGGCUGCGUCUGAUUAGCUUGUUGGCGGGGUAACGGCCCACCAAGGCAACGAUCAGUAGGGGUUCUGAGAGGAAGGUCCCCCACAUUGGAACUGAGACACGGUCCAAACUCCUACGGGAGGCAGCAGUGAGGAAUAUUGGUCAAUGGGCGAGAGCCUGAACCAGCCAAGUAGCGUGCAGGAUGACGGCCCUAUGGGUUGUAAACUGCUUUUGUAUGGGGAUAAAGUCAAUCACGUGUGAUUGUUUGCAGGUACCAUACGAAUAAGGACCGGCUAAUUCCGUG
rnacentral:rRNA from 1 species